rnacentral:misc_RNA from 1 species
GUACGCUUGUUUGCCGACCUAGUGAUAUAAAAAAAAUUAUAAAAAAGCAUCCAUACUCAUAAUGCAAUGUAUAUAAACGAUAUGAAAAUAUUUUUGUAAAACAACGACUUUUUCAGCUACACACCACAAAGGAACGUUUUAAGUGAAAUUGGAUGGCAAUAAACAUGUAAAUCAAAGAGUACACGUGUCCACGCAAUCACAUCUAGGUGCAGUAUUUUUACGUUAGUUCCGCCUCACUAUUUUUUAUCUAUUAUAAUUGUGUUUGCUCGCAAAAAAAAAACCGACUUCAAUUACAUAGACAAGUAAUACAACGUAAGUAGACGAAAAAAAAUUAACAAAAGCACUAGUCGUCACUACGAGGGUUUCCCUCGAUUUCGGGUCGGCAACGAUGCGAUGUUUCUAGUGUUGCAGAUGUCUAUCAGCUACGGUAAUCGCUUACCAUCAGAUGAGCCGCACGCUUGUUUGCCGGAUUAGUUUUAUAAAACUAAAAAAUGCAUUUUUAAUAGAAUUCAAAUAAUAUGUCUAAUUUAAUAUUACGUAAAGACGUUAGAAUUUUAACGCCAACUUCGUUAGAAUUGUGUUGGUAAUCUACAGCUAGUAAGAGAUAAGACUACGGGAUUCCCAUAACGGGAAUCGCCUUCAAAUCACGUUUU